rnacentral:lncRNA from 1 species
AAUUCCUUCUUCCCUUUUUCUUUUUCUUUCUUUUCCUCUUUCUUCCCGUUUCCUUUUUCUCUCUUUUACAGGCUACUCAAAAGAUCAUGAAUCUCCCCUCUCCCCGGAUAAAAUCUCUAGCUCAGAAUGAAGAGAAAGCUAGCCUAUUUAUAGGCAAAGACAAGGCUGAACCAGGGAAGAGAAAACGCCAAAAGGGAAGAGUGAACGCCAAACGUUUCAUGAUUUUAUUAAAUUUUUUGAACCGUUUGAUUUCAAUUAAAUCAGUCCUAUAUUAAAGAGGUUUCAAAACCGAAGAGACACGUCUCUUCGGAUCUUCAAAUGGUAGCCGAAAGAGGGAAGAUCAAGCGGCCUUCGAUGUGUUCGGAAGAAGAAGAAGAACGCGGUCCACGGGAGAAGGUUUGCAGAAAAA